UCUGCUCGAGCUGAGGCAUCCCUUGAAUGUUAUCUUGUGUAUUAUGUUUCCUGUGCCGUAAAUUCAUGGGAGAGGCUUUGUCCAACAAUCUUAAGACUUAUGGCAGUCAUCUUAGGGGUGAGUCUCUGUGGCCAAACAGCCCAGAGUCACUUUGAACCAUGCAGUCAAAAAGCGGCUAGGCCCAAAUCCAAUAUGGCUCCGUGCAUCUCCCCCAUUUUUCUUUUAUAAAAAACCAUUAGGUGGAAGUAGUGGUCUGAGAGAGAUCAGACAUGCCUCACAGAGUGCCCAGCUCGGCCAUGGUGAGCCACUCUUGCAGUUAGGACUGCACCCCAAUGGCUAGGAAUGAACUUAUGCUGUAACACACCGUUCUGGGCUAUACGUGUGUGUUAUUGGGGGAGAAACUGGGCAGAGGAGCAUUUGACCGGCCCGCACAUUUAAACGGGGUGUAGCCACCUCUGCCUUAGGAUCAACCUCUCAAACCCCAGCCUUAUCUGUCAU
rnacentral:lncRNA from 1 species